rnacentral:rRNA from 1 species
UACGAAGGUUGCAAGCGUUACUCGGAAUUACUAGGCGUAAAGGGCAGGUAGGUGGUUUGGUAAGUCUAUUGUGAAAGCUCCCGGCUUAACUGGGAGAGGCCAAUGGAUACUGCCAAGCUUGAGUAUAGGAGAGGUUACUGGAAUUCCCGGUGUAGCGGUGAAAUGCGCAGAUAUCGGGAGGAACACCAAUGGCGAAAGCAGGUAACUGGACCUAUUACUGACACUCAACUGCGAAAGCUAGGGGAG